AAUAAUGUCCAGUCGCGUGAACUAAACAACGUAAGGAAAAGGGACAAAAAACCUCGUCCAGGACAGAACUUCAAUUGUGUGCGAGAUCUGAUAUCUCAACCUGUAAAGAAAAGAUCUUCAUGAACCGAAACAGCAUCACAAUGGCGAAACUUGAAGCAUUUGAUGAACCGAAACAGCAACAACAGCAGCAGAAGAAGAAGAUUGUGAAGAGGAAUCAUGGUUCCACAUCCUUCUUUGUGUUCGUGGACUAUCUUUUCCUCUUCAUUUUCUUUGGUUUCCUUGUAUUUAUUCUCUCCAAGAUGGCUACAAGUAUCUGAUUCAUGCCAGAAUUGAUGAUUCUCCACCAGGAUUAGCUCCUUGCUUUCAUUGAGUUAAGAGCAACUUGAGUUAUUACUUAUCAGAUCAGAUGGCUGUAUGAAAAGACUAUUUUGUAGCAUGUAUAAUGCAUUUAUUUGAAUUGGCGCAAGUUUAAAAUAUCAUUUCUGUUUGUUUCCAUUGGGUAAAGAUGUUAUACAAAUGAUUGUUUUUUCAGAGUAGAAAGAACACGGUUGGUUGGUUGGUUGGUUGGCAAAUGGCAACAUCAAUUCAUUGCA